GGCCCGUUGGUCAAGCGGUUAAGACACCGCCCUUUCACGGCGGUAUCAGGGGUUCGAGUCCCCUACGGGUCA
rnacentral:tRNA from 1 species